GUGCCUACGGGACGCAGCAGUGAGGAAUAUUGGUCAAUGGUCGGGAGACUGAACCAGCCAAGCCGCGUGAGGGAUGAAGGUACAGAGUAUCGUAAACCUCUUUUGUCAGGGAACAAAGGCGGGGACGUGUCCCCGGAUGAGUGUACCUGAAGAAAAAGCAUCGGCUAACUCCGUGCCAGCAGCCGCGGUAAUACGGAGGAUGCGAGCGUUAUCCGGAUUUAUUGGGUUUAAAGGGUGUGCAGGCGGAAGAUCAAGGCAGCGGGAAA
rnacentral:rRNA from 1 species